UCAUUUUUUUGUUUCCAAGGUCGUCCAGCAAUGUCUACGACGAACACGACGUUGAUUGGGCUCCUACACUUAAAUUGGGUCACCAGAAAUUAAAACCUAUUCGUGAAAGUGCCAUUAAAAGAAACGAUCGGACCAAAAAGCGAGACCUUAAACGACGCCAUUCCGAAGCAGCCGUUGCCCUCCUUGAUUUACAAAAGCUGGCUCGAAUGGAGUUUAACGUCCAUCAAGAACAUGAACACCCAGGAGAAAAUAACUUAUAUUUACAACAAGAGUCAAAUAUCAACCAUGCUGAAUGCCAGACUGAAAGACAGGUUCAACAUGUAGAGUGCCAAACAGACCUAACAGUCAACUAUUUAAAGUCAAUGGAAGAAGACAUAAAGAGAUGCAAUGAGGAACUAUGCACACUUAAAGAGAAAGCCCUUGAAGCACUAA